AGGACGAACGCUGGCGGCGUGCUUAACACAUGCAAGUCGAGCGGAAAGGCCCUUCGGGGUACUCGAGCGGCGAACGGGUGAGUAACACGUGAGCAAUCUGCCCUUAGCUUCGGGAUAGCUCCGGGAAACCGGAAUUAAUACCGAAUAUGACUACGGUUGACAUCAGCCAUGGUGGAAAGUUUUUCGGCUAGGGAUGAGCUCGCGGCCUAUCAGCUAGUUGGUGGGGUAACGCCUACCAAGGCGACGACGGGUA
rnacentral:rRNA from 1 species